GAGGGGGCAAGCGUUGUUCGGAAUUACUGGGCGUAAAGGGCGCGUAGGCGGCUUUUCAAGUCGGGCGUGAAAUCUCCGGGCUUAACCCGGAAGGGUCGUCCGAUACUGUUGAGCUAGAGUGUGGAAGAGGCAACUAGAAUUCCGUGUGUAGCGGUGAAAUGCGUAGAUAUACGGAGGAAUACCUGAGGCGAAGGCGGGUUGCUGGGCCAACACUGACGCUGAGGCGCGAAAGCCAGGGGAGCAAACGGG
rnacentral:rRNA from 1 species